rnacentral:rRNA from 1 species
GUUUGAUCCUGGCUCAGGACGAACGCUGGCGGCGCGCUUAACACAUGCAAGUCGUACGAGGACGGGGGUGCUUGCACCGCCGAGCCGAGUGGCGAACGGGUGAGUGACACGUGACCAAUCUGCCCUUGGGAGAGGGACAACCUGAGGAAACUCGGGCUAAUACCACAUGACGUGCCGGGGUCGCAUGGCCUUGGCACCAACAGGGGGCCUCUUCAUGAAAGCUCCUGCCCAGGGAGGAGGUCGCGGCGUAUCAGCUUGUUGGUGGGGUAACGGCCUACCAAGGCGACGACGCGGAGCGGGUCUGAGAGGGCGAUCCGCCACAUUGGGACUGAGAUACGGCCCAGACUCCUACGGGAGGCAGCAGUGGGGAAUAUUGCGCAAUGGUCGAGAGACUGACGCAGCGACGCCGCGUGUGGGAGGAAGCUCUUCGGGGCGUAAACCACUGUCAGGUGGGAAGAAGUCCGCAUGUCCAAACACGGCAUGCGGUUGACGGUACCAUCAGAGGAAGCGUCGGCUAACUCCGUGCCAGCAGCCGCGGUAAGACGGAGGGCGCAAGCUGUGUUCGGAAUUACUGGGCGUAAAGCGCGGGCAGGUGGCUCGGUAAGUCUUCUGUGAAACUCCGGGGGCUCACCCCGACAUGCAGGAGAUACUGCGAGCUAGAGACUGUAGAGGCUAGUGGAAUUCCUGUGUAGCGUNGAAUGUGUAGAUAUCAGGAAG